rnacentral:rRNA from 1 species
GACGAACGCUAGCGGCAGGCUUAAUACAUGCAAGUCGAGGGGCAGCAUAAGUAGCAAUACUUGAUGGCGACCGGCAAACGGGUGCGGAACACGUACGCAACCUUCCUUUAAGCGGGGAAUAGCCCGGGGAAACCCGGAUUAAUACCCCAUAAUAUAUUGAGAAAGCAUUUUCUUUUUAUUAAAGAUUUAUCACUUAAAGAUGGCGUGCGCCUGAUUAGGUAGUUGGCGGAGUAAUAGCCCACCAAGCCUGCGAUCAGUAACUGGUGUGAGAGCACGACCAGUCACACGGGCACUGAGACACGGGCCCGACUCCUACGGGAGGCAGCAGUAAGGAAUAUUGGUCAAUGGACGCAAGUCUGAACCAGCCAUGCCGCGU